GAUCGGUGUUCCGGGAGGUUGCCGGAGCCGGCUGUUUUGUCUGUCUGCGCAUAGUGUGGAUGGACCGGCCAAUGCACUUCCUCUAUCUGGUGAGCACCACGACUGGUGGAACUGCCAGUCUGCCGUAGUCAAGUCGGGUUGGGUCGGUGGCUCCUUUGUAAGGGGUCGUCGGCUGAGCUUCGAUCAUCACGGGCGAAUUCAGUGAGCGGCGUGUGUAGGCAUUUGCAUGCACACGUGUUAUCGAGCACUGGUCGUCAACGGGUCUGUCUGUCGGUUGGUUUUGUUGUGCAGUCGCCGGCGGAUGUCCUGGUGGGCUACGGUGGUAUGAAUAACUGUGCAGGGCACCAGGGUUGUCGGUCUCUAGGUUCUGGCUCGUGCGCACACUGCAUGUGGGCGUGGGGUGUUGCUGUGGGCUGCCAAUUGCUGGGUCUGAUCGUCGUGUUGCCUGCGCAAAGCGGGUCCGGCGGUGGUCUGGUGUUGGGUGGUCUUACAUGCGGCGCCUCCUGUACGAGUCGGCGUGGGCCAAACAGUCUGUGGUGUUGUGGUAGACGAGCUACCCGACCCGUCUUGUAACACGGACCAAGGAGUUUAUCAUGCACGCGAGUCAAUGGGUCCCACGAAACCCAAAGGCGCAGUGAAAGUGAAGUCUCGACUUGUUCUCGGGAUGUGGUGAGAUGCCACUGUUUCUCGCACCUCGCCUUGCGCGUUCAGCACCAGGCAGAAGAGCAGUGGUCGCAUCACCGGCCCGUCCCAUGAUGUGGUCGUUGGAAAGGCGUGGAUCGUUCUGCGGUCUGGGCUGGAGCCGGCGCGUCAUCGGGGCGGAGCAGGAGCGUGCACGAUAAGACCCGAAAGAUGGUGAACUAUGCUUGCGUAGGUUGAAGCCAGAGGAAACUCUGGUGGAGGACCGCAGCGAUUCUGACGUGCAAAUCGAUCGUCAAACGUGAGUAUAGGGGCGAAAGACUAAUCGAACCAUCUAGUAGCUGGUUCCCUCCGAAGUUUCCCUCAGGAUAGCUGGCACUCAUUCGCAAGAUCAGUUUUAUCCGGUAAAGCGAAUGAUUAGAGGUACUGGGUUCGAAACGAGCUCAACCUAUUCUCAAACUUUAAAUGGGUGAGAUGCCCGGCUCGCUUUGUAGGAGUCGGGCGCUGAAUGUGCGAGUGCCAAGUGGGCCAUUUUUGGUAAGCAGAACUGGCGCUGUGGGAUGAACCAAACGCCCGGUUAAGGUGCCUAACGCUGACGCUCAUGAGAUACCACAAAAGGUGUUGGUUAAUAUAGACAGCAGGACGGUGGCCAUGGAAGUCGGCAUCCGCUAAGGAGUGUGUAACAACUCACCUGCCGAAUUGACCAGCCCUGAAAAUGGAUGGCGCUGGAGCGUCGGACCUAUACCGGGCCGUCACCGCAAGCUGGAUCGCUGGCUAUUUUUUGGUGGUGCGAGCAGCGCAUGGCCGGUUGCGUGAACGACAAUCGGUCGCUGUCUUGCGAAGUCAUGAUCCAGGCAAGGAGGCGGUGGCGAGUAGGAGGGUCGCCGUGGUGAGCGUGGAAGCCUCGGACGUGAGUCUGGGUGGAGCCGCCACGGGUGCAGAUCUUGGUGGUAGUAGCAAAUAUUCAAGUGAGAACCUUGAAGGCCGAGGUGGAGAAGGGUUCCAUGGGAACAGCAGUUGGCCAUGGGUCAGGCGGUCCUAAGCGAUCCGGUGUCUCGGUACAGAGACGUGGGGUGCCUUGCAUACUUCUAUCUGUGUGUGUGUGUGUGUGCGCGCGUGCAGCCGGCAGCCCCCCGGAGCGAAAGGGAAUCGGGUUAAUAUUCCCGACCCUGCCCACGGAGAUAGGCAAGCGUUUGGCUGGGCCGUCAGUGUGCGCGCUUUUUCGGCGUGUGCAGCUGUGGUCUGUGUCUGGGCGCUGCUAAGCGCGGUAACGCAACCGAACUCGGAGACAUCGGCUUGAGUUCCGGGAAGAGUUUUCUUUUCUUUGUAAGGAGUGCUCACCACCCCUGGAAUCGGGUUGUCCGGAGAUAGGGGUAUCGCCUCCGUAAAGCACCACCCCUCUUGUGGUGUCCGGAACACUCUGGUCGGUCCUUGAAAAUCCGAGGGAGGCAUUAUGAUUUUCGUGGCAGGCCGUACCCAUAUCCGCAUCAGGUCUCCAAGGUGAACAGCCUCUGGCAAUAGAAUAAUGUAGGUAAGGGAAGUCGGCAUAUUUGAUCCGUAACCUCGGAAAAAGGAUUGGCUCUGAGGGCCGAGUCAGACACGCUGGGCAAAGAAACGUGUCUGCUCAGCCUGCGGCUGGCUAGUCGGCUAGCUGGACUGUGGCUGCAACUGCUGCUGCUGGGUUAACGCCGCUGCUUCCGUUGUGUGCGUGUGUGUGUGCUGCGUGUGCGCGGCGUUACCUGUGUGGCGUGGUCGGGCAACUGGCCGCGUAGCACGGUGCGCACGUGUGCGCGCGUGUGCGUGCAUGCAUCUGGUCGUGGUGGCUGACUCAGCGGUGCGGUGUGACCUUGACCGGUGGGCUAACUGGCUGGAAGUGGGCAGAGUGGAUCGUGGGCAGGUCCAGUUAUGCCUGUCCCUUGGUUUGCGCUGGUUGUUGCCGUUGCUAUUGUCGCGGUUUCGGCCACGAUGGUGGUUGCGGUGGCGGCGGUUGUGUAGCCUCGGGGCACUUGUCUGACGUCAAACGGCCAACUCAGAACUGGCACGGACUCGGGGAAUCCGACUGUCUAAUUAAAACAAAGCAUUGCGAUGUCUGCUGAUCGGUUUUGACGCAAUGUGAUUUCUGCCCAGUGCUCUGAAUGUCAAAGUGAAGAAAUUCAACCAAGCGCGGGUAAACGGCGGGAGUAACUAUGACUCUCUUAAGGUAGCCAAAUGCCUCGUCAUCUAAUUAGUGACGCGCAUGAAUGGAUUAACGAGAUUCCUACUGUCCCUAUCUACUAUCUAGCGAAACCACAGCCAAGGGAACGGGCUUGGCAGAAUCAGCGGGGAAAGAAGACCCUGUUGAGCUUGACUCUAGUCCGACUCUGUGAAGAGACAUGGCGGGGGGAGUAAUAAAUGGGGGGGGGGGAACGCCCCUCCGGGGCUCUCGUUCGACAAUGAAAAACCACUCCCAUCAUUGUUUCUUU
rnacentral:rRNA from 1 species